rnacentral:rRNA from 1 species
AUUGAACGCUGGCGGCAGGCCUAACACAUGCAAGUCGAGCGGAUGAAGGGAGCUUGCGCCUGGAUUCAGCGGCGGACGGGUGAGUAAUGCCUAGGAAGCUGCCUGGUAGUGGGGGAUAACGUCAGGAAACGGGCGCUAAUACCGCAUACGUCCUGAGGGAGAAAGUGGGGGAUCUUCGGACAUCACGCUAUCAGAUGAGCCUAGGUCGGAUUAUCUAGUUGGUGGGGUAAGGCCUCCCAGGGGGACGAACCGUAACGGGUUUGAAUGGAUGACCAGUAAAACUGGAACUGAGAACCGGCCAAGCUCCCUCCGGGAGGCAGCAGUGGGAAAUAUUGGACAUUGGGCGAACGCCUGCUCCAGCAAUGCCGCGUGUGUGAAGAAGGUCUUCGGUUUGUAAAGCACUUUAAGUUGGAAGAAAGGGCAGUAAGUUAAUACCUUGCUGUUUUGACGUUACCAAAAGAAGAAGCACCGGCUAACUACGU